ACGAUGGCAAUGGGUGAUACGCAACUGUGAGAAGCUGGAGGACAGAUCAAGGCAUUGGGAGAUAAUUGCAUGUGCAUCCCAUGGAAUAAGGUCUGAGUUUUCCAUAGCUUUAACCAAAGUCAGAUUGUCUGACUCUAACUCAAGGGGAUAAUGUCUUCGAGGGAAGAACUUUAGGGUUUCCAAGAGAGCCACAAAUUCUGCUUGAGAGGCUGAGGAGACAUGGAUUUGUUUUGCAAAGCCAUCGACAAGUGUCUCCUUUGAGUUUCGAACGAUGCAAGCGAUUACGCCUUCCAUGGAGCUUUUGACGAAGGAUCCAUCAAUAUUGACCUUUAAAGAUCUGCCCUUUGGGGGUUUCCAGAUCUCAGAAGAGGUGGGUGUGUCAAGGUCCGAUUUUUGCUUUGAAUUCCAUCUCCUGUAAUUGCUGAGAGAAGUUAGAGCUCCUUGUAGUGCUUGAAUUGGGUCUGGGAGUUUCUUUCGAAAGAUAAAUGUGUUGCGAUAAGUCCAAAUAAACCAGAAGAUGAUUGCAACAAGUUCCAAAGAAGGGACAAAGAAGAAGGAGAUGCUCUGUGGAUUCCACUUGGUCUUUACACAGUGAGCAUAAUGGAUAUGAUCUUAUUCCACAAAGCUCGAGGAGCCGAGAAAGAUGAGGAGGCCUUUGGAGCUUUUCGGAUAUUCUCAGCCAUGAGCAUCUAUUCUCACUUCUUUCACCUGGCCUGCUGAGCUAACUAGAGAUUCUACUACUUCCAAGGAAAACCAUCCGAUUGGCAAACCAAGUAUUCGAAUCCAGAAGAGAAGAGCCAAUCGAGCUGAGGCCUCAUCAUCAUCUUCCAUUUCUGAAAGAUUGGUACCUUGAUAAUUGAUUUGAAGGCAAGUAUAGAAAUGGGGAAGAGGGUAGCGGCUAGGGUUUUUUGGGAAGUGACAUCAAAACCCUAAAUGAAAAAAGGGAGGAGAGAAGAAAUGAAGCACCAAAAGCUGCAUGCGAAUUCAUGGUGAUGAUUGAGCAAACCAGUAGGGAUUUUGUUAGGGUUUGUAAGUUGAGGGAGCCAUUGCUACACAGACGGUAGAGGAGAGCUACACAAUCGGUAGAGGAGAGCUACACAGUCGGUAGAUGUAGAGUAGUUCACAGUCACUAUGAUCCUUUUCUAAGUGCAUAGUAAUUCGUAGAUCAAGGUGGUGAAUCGGAACAAUUGUGUAAUUCAGGUGAGUGACCCAGUGUACUUAGUCCCAUGGGCAUGAAUUUCUUUUACGAGCGUUAAAUUUACCUAUGUAUGUACAAUGACCAAUCUAUUUAACAUCUAUACUGUAAAGUGUAGUGCAAGAAUUUAUUCAGGCUAUCCCUGAAUGAGAACUAACGCACAUGCAAUCUCGAAUGACCAUGUUUUUAAUUAUUCAUUAAUUAACGAAAGCAAUAGCAAUUCAUCCUUCGAAUAUGUAGUAAUUUGCAGGGCAUGCGGUGGCAACUCUUGUCCAAGAUGGACUUUC